rnacentral:misc_RNA from 1 species
UGCCACAGGAUUUACACUUAAAUACCAACAGAAUUUUUUAUAGCACAAAAGGGAAGUAGCUUCAUCAACACUUGGAAACAUCCAUACAUGACAUGUUCUAAUCCCAAAUAAUUUAUCUGAGUAUUUUCAAUCAUUAUCUUUUCACACACAAUAAAAGUCAAUUCCAACAUUACUUACACUAGAAAUGCUUAGUCAUUAAUCUUGACACAAUUAAACUUG